GCCGUACGGUUAUCCGGACUGAUCCGCCCGUAGAGUAUGUCACAGCCGAUUCUCUAGUGAUGAUGCCUUUUCCGCCGCGCUCACCCUGAGGAGGGACAUUGGAAUCUGGGGAGACUUGAGUGCAGGAUAGCAGAAAGGAAUUCCAUGUGUAGCGGUGAAAUGCGUAGAUAUAUGGAGGAACACCAGUGGCGAAGGCGGCUCUCUGGUCUGUAACUGACGCUGAGGCUCGAAAGCGUGGGGAGCGAACAGGAUUAGAUACCCUGGUAGUCCACGCCGUAAACGAUGAGUGCUAAGUGUUGGAGGGUUUCCGCCCUUCAGUGCUGCAGCAAACGCAUUAAGCACUCCGCCUGGGGAGUACGACCGCAAGGUUGAAACUCAAAGGAAUUGACGGGGGCCCGCACAAGCGGUGGAGCAUGUGGUUUAAUUCGAAGCAACGCGAAGAACCUUACCAGGUCUUGACAUCCUUUGACCACUCUAGAGAUAGAGCUUCCCCUUCGGGGGCAAAGUGACAGGUGGUGCAUGGUUGUCGUCAGCUCGUGUCGUGAGAUGUUGGGUUAAGUCCCGCAACGAGCGCAACCCUUAUUGUUAGUUGCCAUCAUUUAGUUGGGCACUCUAGCGAGACUGCCGGUGACAAACCGGAGGAAGGUGGGGAUGACGUCAAAUCAUCAUGCCCCUUAUGACCUGGGCUACACACGUGCUACAAUGGGAAGUACAACGAGUUGCGAAGUCGCGAGGCUAAGCUAAUCUCUUAAAGCUUCUCUCAGUUCGGAUUGUAGGCUGCAACUCGCCUACAUGAAGCCGGAAUCGCUAGUAAUCGCGGAUCAGCACGCGCGUGGAAAACCCUUUCCCGGGGCCCCUUUGUAACACACGCGCCCGUCACACCACGAAGAGUUUGUAACACCCGAAGUCGGUGAGGUAACCUUUUGGAACCCGCCGGCUUAGGUGGGAUAGAUGAUGGGGUGAGUCUAAGAAGAACCCCCCACAAAAAANNNNNNNNNCNCCCGCNGCNCCGGGGGGANACCCGCGGGGGGAGCCAAAUUUUUAUACCCCUUUUUUUUUUUUUUUAUCAAACAAAAAUUUUAAAGAAAAAAAAAUUUCUUUUUCUACCCGGGCGGGGCGUGCGGACCAAUAUUUUUUCUUUUCUAAUAAAAAUUACUUCUCGGCUCCCCCCUCCCCAGAGAGGGAGGGGGGCGGAGCCGGGAAACCGAGGGGGGGGGGGGGAACCCCCAACUCUCUCUGUCCGGGGUCUGUUGAUGAUGUGGGUUGGUGGGGUGGGUGGGGGGGGCACUCCCCACAGUAACAAAAAAAAUACAGAAAAUAAGGGAGGGAGGGCGCGCGCCCGCCCGCCCGCGGGCACGACUCAACAA
rnacentral:rRNA from 1 species